UAGGGAAUCUUCGGCAAUGGACGAAAGUCUGACCGAGCAACGCCGCGUGAGUGAAGAAGGUUUUCGGAUCGUAAAACUCUGUUGUUAGAGAAGAACAAGGACGUUAGUAACUGAACGUCCCCUGACGGUAUCUAACCAGAAAGCCACGGCUAACUACGUGCCAGCAGCCGCGGUAAUACGUAGGUGGCAAGCGUUGUCCGGAUUUAUUGGGCGUAAAGCGAGCGCAGGCGGUUUCUUAAGUCUGAUGUGAAAGCCCCCGGCUCAACCGGGGAGGGUCAUUGGAAACUGGGAGAGUUGAGUGCAGAAGAGGGGAGUGGAAUUCCAUGUGUAGCGGUGAAAUGCGUAGAUAUAUGGAGGAACACCAGUGGCGAAGGCGGCUCUCUGGUCUGUAACUGACGCUGAGGCUCGAAAGCGUGGGGAGCAAACAGG
rnacentral:rRNA from 2 species